CCGUGAGAGAGAAGGGAGAAGGGAGAAAGAAGAAGAAGAAGAAGAAGAGAAAAGAGGGAAAUUAGAAGGGAAAUAGAAAGGAGUUGAAGAGAAUAAGUUUAAAGAUAAUCCUGAUAUUCUACCGGCGGGACGUCAGUAGGAUUUUCUUCGAUAUCAGCUUUGAGUUUUGUUGCUUUCGAGUAAGGUGAGUGGAUAAUUUUUCAUAUGCAUGAGAAAUAUUAUAAAUAUUUGAUUUGUUAAUAUGAAUUGGAUCAUGCUUCUUGAUAAUAUAUAUGUUGAUUAUUAUCCUUGUUAUGAUAAACAUGAUCAAUUGUUGAAUCCGAAUUAUUGAUAUGAACCAGUAUAUAUAUUCUGAAUUGACUUCUGAAUUGAUAGCUCCUCAUUUGAUUGAUGUCAUGAGUUGAGCCUUGAGAUAUGAAUAUGUCUGUUUGAUUAUGAUUAUGAACCUAUGGUAUGUCAGUCAGAAUACCCAUGCUAACAGGGUAGUGUUAGUCUUUGUGCACAUCGUAUCUGAAUCCUAGUUGGUCGGGGGAGUCACCAACCUGUGUGGACUGAUCAUCCCACAGUACAGAGCCUCAUGCUCAUUGCAUUUUGAUUUUCUGACGAGUUUUACCAUAUGAUCUUCUUGUUAUGGCCUAUUUGAGAAACCAUUCUAUAAGAACCUAAGGCCGUACUUGUAUAUAUAUUUCUCAUUGUUAUAUUACCUCGUGUGUGUAUAUUGAACGUUAUCUACUCACUGAGUUGUUGAACUCACCAUCUCAUUAUUUAUCCUUUUCAGGCUUAUAGCUUGAUAUCAGGUCAUUUUGUUGAACCUUCAGAACCUGCUCUUUGGUUGUACCUUGUACCUUUCCUUUAUGUUUAGUUAGUGCUCCAAAACUCUGAACUUAUAUAAACUCUUAUAUUAAAACAAUUCAAUUAUAUUAUGAAGUUGAUUUUGUUAUUAAUGUUGCGUUGAACUCUGAUUGAGUUAGGAUAAGUUUGUGUGUAAGUUUGGGUUCGCAUAGGUAUGGAACCUUGGAGGGGAACCUUGCCUAUGUGCCGGUCAUGGAUCCGGGAUUCGGGUCGUGACACUAUGACUCUUGGACCUGAGCCAAGCCCAAUAGAGCUUUUUGUGGAGACGCACGUGUGGAGUGAAUACCGCUAGAAGGGGGUGCAGCAGUUCGUCGACAACCGCACUUAACACUUCAUGGAGACAUAUAAUAGCCGAUUGAGGGAGAGAUACGGGGACGAUCCUUCGACCCACUCAGAUUUCGAUCCGGAUUUGUGGAUAGAGGCAAGAUCGUCUGGUGGACCCGAUAGAAAUCGGGUGUACGGACUCUCCAACACUACGACUGAGAACUUGCGGGCGGCUUGUAGUGUCUCAACUAUUGGGAGCUCUCAAUCGGUAUCAAGCAGCCAGUCUUAGGAGUUCGUGGCCUUGCAACAACAUAAGACUCAUCUCAUCGAAAAAUAUGAGCAAACUCGACAAAUUAUGAACAAUUCCGCUAAAUGGUCAUGGACAUGAGAUCACAGAUGAGUGGUACGUGUGUGCCCCUUUUUUGGUUGUAUGAUCCCGAGAACGCCAGCCUCCUCCUCCUCUAGUGCCGCCAUUGUUCUAGUUUAAUUUUUAUUUAUACAAAUAAAAUUGUAGUGAAUAUUUGGAUUUUAUAUUAUUCAAUUUUAUUUUUA